UGAAUAAUUAUGUCUCACAAUAAACUGUAUAGGUGUUUAAAGUGGUACUACUGGUUAUGAAGCAACCUUACAGUGCUGGAACAUCUACCAUCCCCUUAAGAGCCUUUGUGAGAGUGGCUAAGUUCACAUAAUGACAACAGGAACAGCAGGAACAAGUAAUGACAAUUCACCUAAGAAGAAGGGAUGGCCAAAGGGUCGUAAGAGAAGACUCCUACCAAAGGAUUCUAACGCCCCAAAAGGACCGCUGUCUGGUUAUAUGUUGUUUAUGAGCGAUCAGCGUGAAAUCAUCCGUCAAACUAACGCUGGUCUGGCCUUCCACGAGAUAACAAAGUUGGUGGCUCAGCGGUGGGCUCAACUGGACGCCAGCUCUAAAACAAAGUACUUGGAGGCCGCUGAAGCAGAUAAGGAAAGAUACCAGAAGGAACUAGAGGAGUAUCAAAAGACGGAUGCCUAUAAGAAGUUUAUGCAGAAGCAGCAGAAGGAGGAAAGUCCAACGCCCCCAAAGAAACCCAGGAAGGAAAUUGUUGAGGAGAGAAAAGAAGAAGAGGAAGAGGAACCAAUGAAUCCCCACUCUGCCUUGGAGAUACCAAUCUUCACCGAGGAGUUCCUCAAUCACAACAAAGCACGUGAAGCAGAGUUACGGCAGCUACGCAAAUCUAACACAGAUUAUGAAGAACAAAACGCUAUACUUCAGAAACAUAUUGAGAGCAUGAAAUGUACCGUGGACAGACUGGAGUCCGAGACCAGCCAGCAGCGCAGCAAUAAUGCAGCACUGCAGCAGCACAUUGAGACCCUCAGACGAACCCUUACUAAAGCUUUUAUGACUCUUCCUCUCCCUGCCAAAUGCCAUUGAGAGCAGAUAUCCCAGACUGGCUCUCCCCUAUCAUGCUGGUUUACUACAAAAAGAUCCCAGGAGAUGCCAACAGAAGAGAGCAUCGACAGCUACAUGGUACAGCUUCACUCACUCAUCGUCAACAACCCACAACAACACCAGAAUCUCAUCCAGACAGUAAGGGGAAUUGUCAGUCAGCUGGCUCUCACCUGAUCAACUUCAACUUAUCAACAGAUUGUUAUUAUAUUGAAAAUGGAA
rnacentral:misc_RNA from 1 species